AUUGAACGCUGGCGGCAGGCCUAACACAUGCAAGUCGAGGGGUAGAGUUCUUCGGGACUUGAGACCGGCGCACGGGUGCGUAACGCGUAUGCAAUCUACCUUAUACAGGGGAAUAGCCCAGAGAAAUUUGGAUUAAUGCCCCAUAGUGUUAUCGAAUCGCAUGGUUUGAUAACUAAAGUUCCAACGGUAUAAGAUGAGCAUGCGUCCCAUUAGUUAGUUGGUAAGGUAACGGCUUACCAAGACAAUGAUGGGUAGGGGUCCUGAGAGGGAGAUCCCCCACACUGGUACUGAGACACGGACCAGACUCCUACGGGAGGCAGCAGUGAGGAAUAUUGGUCAAUGGGCGCAAGCCUGAACCAGCCAUGCCGCGUGCAGGAAGACGGUCCUAUGGAUUGUAAACUGCUUUUAUACAGGAAGAAACCCUCCCACGUGUGGGAGCUUGACGGUACUGUAGGAAUAAGGAUCGGCUAACUCCGUGCC
rnacentral:rRNA from 1 species